rnacentral:rRNA from 1 species
GUAAAGUGGCGGCACGGGUGAGUAACGCGUGGAUAAUCUGCCCUUAUGAUCGGGAUAACAGUUGGAAACGGCUGCUAAUACCGGAUACGCUCAAAAUGAACUUUUUGAGGAAACGAUGGCCUCUGCUUGCAUGCUAUCACGUAAGGAUGAGUCCGCGUCCCAUUAGCUUGUUGGCGGGUAACGGCCCACCAAGGCAACGAUGGGUAGCCGAUUUGAGAGGAUGAUCGGCCACACUGGAACUGAAACACGGUCCAGACUCCUACGGGAGGCAGCAGUGGGGAAUAUUGCGCAAUGGGCGAAAGCCUGACGCAGCGACGCCGCGUGAGGGAUGAAAGGUUUUCGGAUCGUAAACCUCUGUCAGAAGGGAAGAAACUACGUUGUGCUAAUCAGCAGCGUACUGACGGUACCUUCAAAGGAAGCACCGGCUAACUCCGUGCCAGCAGCAGC